rfam:Anisakis simplex genome assembly, scaffold: ASIM_scaffold0000086
CCAACGGCCCUCUUUAGGGCCACUAAAUAAUGCAGUUGGGUAGAUA